GCUGGGCGUGGUGGCGGGUGCCUGUAAUCCCAGCUACUCAGGAGGCUGAGGCAGGAGAAUUGCUUGAACCCGGGAGGCGGAGGUUGCAGUGAGCCAAGAUCGCGCCACUGCACUCCAGCCUGGGCGACAGAGCAAGACUCUGUCUCAA
rnacentral:SRP_RNA from 1 species